rnacentral:rRNA from 1 species
GACGAACGCUGGCGGCGUGCUUAACACAUGCAAGUCGAACGGAAAGGCCCUGCUUGCAGGGUACUCGAGUGGCGAACGGGUGAGUAACACGUGGGUGAUCUGCCCUGCACUUCGGGAUAAGCCUGGGAAACUGGGUCUAAUACCGGAUAGGACCAUCGUUUAGUGUCGGUGGUGGAAAGUUUUUCGGUGCAGGAUGAGCUCGCGGCCUAUCAGCUUGUUGGUGGGGUAAUGGCCUACCAAGGCGUCGACGGGUAGCCGGCCUGAGAGGGUGGGCGGCCACAUUGGGACUGAGACACGGCCCAGACUCCGACGGGAGGCAGCAGUGGGGAAUAUUGCACAAUGGGCGAAAGCUUGAUGCAGCGACGCCGCGUGGGGGAUGAAGGCCUUCGGGUUGUAAACUCCUUUCAACCAUGACGAAGCGUAAGUGACGGUAGUGGUAGAAGAAGCACCGGCUAACUACGUGCCAGCAGCCGCAGUAUAC